rnacentral:rRNA from 1 species
GACGAACGCUGGCGGCGUGCUUAACACAUGCAAGUCGAGCGAUGAAGUUCCUUCGGGAAUGGAUUAGCGGCGGACGGGUGAGUAACACGUGGGUAACCUGCCUCAUAGAGGGGAAUAGCCUUCCGAAAGGAAGAUUAAUACCGCAUAAGAUUGUAGUAUCGCAUGAUACAGCAAUUAAAGGAGCAAUCCGCUAUGAGAUGGACCCGCGUCGCAUUAGCUAGUUGGUGAGGUAACGGCGCACCAAGGCGACGAUGCGUAGCCGACCUGAGAGGGUGAUCGGCCACAUUGGGACUGAGACACGGCCCAGACUCCUACGGGAGGCAGCAGUGGGGAAUAUUGCACAAUGGGGGAAACCCUGAUGCAGCAACGCCGCGUGAGUGAUGACGGUCUUCGGAUUGUAAAGCUCUGUCUUCAGGGACGAUAAUGACGGUACCUGAGGAGGAAGCCACGGCUAACUACGUGCCAGCAGCCGCGGUAA